AGAACCGAAAUCUGAGGAGUAAUGUAGAUCAUAUUCUGAGAAAUGACAGAGUUAGUCAGUAACAAGAGGGUACAAUAGGAUAUGAAUAAAUGACUGAGUGUGUGAAACAGAUCUGAUCUGUUCUGCUCUCUCAAAGAGUUCUCUAGAAGAGGUGGGGUUUAAACACUGAUAUCUGAUGUGAUCUUCUUUAACUUCAAGUCUGUUAGACAGAGAAUAAGAAACGCACAAUGAAUCUCUAUUCUGUAAUUCUACUUUCAGCCUUUGCAUAUGCAGCUUAUGGAAAUGAAAUCAAACCAACCAAAACAGAGGUGUUUGCUGCUGGGGGUUCAAAUGUUACAUUAUCCUGCAGUUAUUCAUCUGCACUCCGUCUUCACUGGUACCGUCAGUAUCCUGGAUCAGCUCCUGAGUUCAUUGUGCUCAUCUCAGACAGUUCAAAACAAACUAAGGAGUCCUAUGUAGAUUCUAGAUUCACGACCAAAGUCACUAAAGUCAGUAAAGAAAAUCUUGUGGAUCUGAAGAUCUCCUCUGCAUCUAUAACAGACUCUGCUCUGUACUACUGCGCUCUGACGCCCACAGUCACAGGAAACACAAGAACACUGCACAAAAACCUGACACACAGCAUUGCAUCUUCCUCACACAUACACAGCCCCCAUAUCUGCCACAGUAUAGUUAACACAAGGUAA